rnacentral:rRNA from 1 species
UUAGGAAUAUUGGACAAUGGGCGCAAGCCUGAUCCAGCCAUGCCGCGUGAGUGAUGAAGGCCUUCGGGUUGUAAAACUCUUUAGCCGAUGAUUAUAAUGACUGUAGUCGGAAAAUAAGCCCCGGCUAACUUCGUGCCAGCAGCCGCGGUAAUACGAAGGGGGCGAGCGUUAUUCGGAAUCACUGGGCGUAAAGCGCGCGUAGGCGGUUUAGUAAGUUAGGAGUGAAAGCCCAGGGCUUAACCUUGGAAUUGCUCUUAAAACUACUAGACUUGAAUCUCGGAGAGGAUAGCGGAAUUUCCAGUGUAGCAGUGAAAUGCGUAGAUAUUGGAAGGAACACCAGUGGCGUAAGCGGCUAUCUGGACGAGUAUUGACGCUGAGGCACGAAAGCGUGGGGAUCAAACAGGAUUAGAUACCCUGGUAGUCCACGCCGUAAACGAUGUGUGCUUGUCGCUGGGGAGUUCACUCUUCGGUGACGCAGCUAACGCGUUAAGCACACCGCCUGGGGAAGUACGGCCGCAAGGUUAAAACUCAAAGGAAUUGACGGGGUCAUAGCUGUUUCCUG